rnacentral:lncRNA from 1 species
AAUGUGGAAAAAGGAAAGUUACCAGACCUUCCAUCCACUAUACCAAACUAUUGUUGCUGCCACCAUUAAUGUGCUGCUCUUGUCCAUCUUUUUGAAAAUUCCAUGAAAAUGAUACUCCUUCAAACGGUUCUUUUUCUCAAGAUCUCCAACAAUCGAAGUUCUUCAAUUGGUUCCUUCAGAUCGGAAGUUUGGGAAUACCA